UACGUAGGGUGCAAGCGUUGUCCGGAAUUAUUGGGCGUAAAGAGCUUGUAGGCGGUUUGUCGCGUCUGCUGUGAAAUUUCGGGGCUCAACCCCGAACUUGCAGUGGGUACGGGCAGACUAGAGUGUGGUAGGGGAGACUGGAAUUCCUGGUGUAGCGGUGAAAUGCGCAGAUAUCAGGAGGAACACCGAUGGCGAAGGCAGGUCUCUGGGCCAUUACUGACGCUGAGAAGCGAAAGCAUGGGGGGCGAACAGG
rnacentral:rRNA from 1 species